AGCAAAGACACACUAGUAGGCACCAGCAAGAAAACAGACAGAAACCUAGAUCUCAGCCUAUAGAUGCCAUUCUCUGCUCACAUGAGCCAAGGCUCUUCCUGGGGUAUUCACAGUGGGCUUGAGGAGCUGCCAGACACUGUAGAACACUUUGCUACGCCAGACGGGGAGAAAGCAUUCAAAGCACCAGCCGAAAGGGCCACGGCCCCAGCUUGGAACUGAGAAGGGAGUGUUGUCACUGACACAAUCCAAGAUGAGACCCAUCAGGCUGAAAGAGACAGGAGAGGAAGGCUUAAACCGGAAUUCAGACUG